rnacentral:rRNA from 1 species
GAUGAACGCUAGCGGCAGGCCUAACACAUGCAAGUCGAGGGAGAAGCCCUUCGGGGCAGAAACCGGCGCACGGGUGCGUAACGCGUAUGCAACCUACCUUUCACAGGGGGAUAGCCCGAAGAAAUUUGGAUUAAUACCCCAUAAUAUUAUUGGAUGGCAUCAUUUGAUAAUUAAAAUUACGAUGGUGAAAGAUGGGCAUGCGUCCUAUUAGCUAGUUGGAGUGGUAACGGCACCCCAAGGCUACGAUAGGUAGGGGUCCUGAGAGGGAGAUCCCCCACACUGGUACUGAGACAGGGACCAGACUCCUACGGGAGGCAGCAGUGAGGAAUAUUGGUCAAUGGUCGGAAGACUGAACCAGCCAUGCCGCGUGCAGGAAGAAUGCCUUAUGGGUUGUAAACUGCUUUUAUAUGGGAAGAAUAAAGGAAGUACGCGUAC